GACAGAGGAUGCAAGCGUUAUCCGGAAUGAUUGGGCGUAAAGCGUCUGUAGGUGGCUUUUUAAGUCCGCCGUCAAAUCCCAGGGCUCAACCCUGGACAGGCGGUGGAAACUACCAAGCUGGAGUACGGUAGGGGCAGAGGGAAUUUCCGGUGGAGCGGUGAAAUGCGUAGAGAUCGGAAGAACACCAACGGCGAAGCAACUCUGCUGGGCCGACACUGACACUGAGAGACGAAAGCUAGGGGAGCGAAUGGG
rnacentral:rRNA from 1 species